rnacentral:lncRNA from 1 species
UAAUUGAAAAACAAAUAUUAAAAAGGGGCAAAACUGUAAUUAGCUAGGAAACCCAGAUGAAAGAAAAUUAAGUGGAAGGGGGAAUAACAUAACCCCAGAAAAGCAGGACACCUCAGCAGAUGAGACUGACCAAUAACACCCUGCCAUGUGGAUAGCCAUGCCAGCUGACCUGCACGUGUGGUCAACCGCGCAAGGAGGAGAGUGUGCAGAUCAGACUGCUAGGAUUCUAGAUGUCGAACAAACAACUAAGGGGUAAUUCGAAAAUGAGCAGUUGGGACUAAAAGGCUGGAAGAUAAAAUGUCCAAGAGAACUGAUGGUCUCAAUUUGCAGAGUAGAGAGAUCCAACAGCCCAGAUUUCGCUCGGAUAAAAAGUAUGAAAUUACUGCUAGUGAGGCUUGAUCCUACGAUCCUUCUGUUGCCAUGCACGCAAAGAUUUGACGGCUAUGAAAUUUAGGGGCUAGUAUGAAUAGAGU